CCCUGCUGUUCAUAACAGCGUGUGAGCGUCUGAAAGGUGAAGGUGUUCACUCCUCCACAAAAAGAAAAGAUUCAAACCGACAAGAGAGGGGACUCUGAAAGCAAAGGAUCUGAUCCAUUCAUCCUCAACGCACUUACUGAAAAAAAAAAGCAUCAUGGGAAGAGGUGAGAGCGAGGACUGGAGUGAAAAGCACACGGACACGAGGCAAACUCAACCUCAGAGGUACGAAGAGACGCAGAGUAAACGCUCGGGGAGCAAAUGUCCCACGUGCUGCUUAAAGACCAGGGACUGUCUGAUGAGUCCAGAGUGCAGCAGGGCGCUUCAGAUCUCCAGCGUUGUCGCCAUGUGUGGGAUGUGCCUCAGAUGGUUCAUAUAGCCUAACCUUGGAUGUCAGGACCAGCUUUUCUAUGCCGUGUUGAUUCUCAGCAUCCUGCAGCACCUUUCAUGAGAGUCAUGCCAUAGGAUUUUCUUUGACUUGGAGAUGGAAAAUAAUCAUUUUAAAGUUUUAGCUUUUUGGCACAUUUGCUAAAACUGUCACCAUAUUUUGGAGGACAACAGAUGUGAACAAAAUCAUGCCUGUCCUCCUCUUCCUUCUGCUUCAACAGCAUUUUCUAGAAUCACAGCAGCUCUCAGAAAACAACCAUUCAGAGCCAAGGAGUCUCUAACGCUGUUGUCAUGGAUGGAUUACCGAACAGGCCAACUGGACACAGGCUGAGGGGCCCAAAGUGUCAGGGCCCCCCUGGCCAUCACUUCCAAAAAUAUUACUCUUGUUACAACUAAGAAGAGACACAAAAAGAUCAUGAAGAGAUGCUAAAGAACUACAAAAAAGUUGCAAAAGAAACAAAACAGAAAGAGACAAAAAGAGACCAAAAUAAAAGAAAAAAAAUAACUUCAGAGACACACAAAAAGCAAAAGAUACAAAAUUGUCUCCAAGAGCCACAAAACAAUAACAGAGAGACACAAA